GAUUAGUUUCUGGAAAUGCCCAAUGCCUAAACACAAUUAGGGGAAACGUUAUUAAUUUACUAGCUGCGCCCCGGGGCUUCGUUUCUAUGGGAUAAAAACUUCUAUAUGUGCUAUUCCACAUUAUAUUCUACCCGUGUACUUUAUUAUAUUGUACCCGGGUUGAGUAAUAAACAAUCUAAAUGAUAUGCAAACUUUCGCAUAAUGAUUAAAAUAAUUCUUGCUUGUUUGUUACUCAGUUCGGGUAGAGUCAUAUCUAAAUACUGUGGUACUAGAAAACUUUUUGUCGGCAAGUAGUAACAUGUGUGUGGUGGACUUUAUAGGAUAUUUUUAAUGAGAGAGGAGUUAUGAAAUUGCUCCUUAAUUAACACGUGUGCAUAAUAUAUUUCCAAAUAAUAACCAUUGUAAUGAAAAUGAUAAAACACAUGUCUCACGUGCCAUAACUGACACAAAUACCUUUACAGUUACAAAAUAUUCUAUAUUGGCAAUAGGCUUAUUGAUAUUGUACCAAGUAGUGGUAUAUAAGUAACUAACAAGUAGUGAUUCGAAAAGAAAACACAAUGACUUCCACAAAAUUCGUAGCGUUCGCAUCUUUAAUGCUAUUACUGCAGUGCCACUGGGCACAUUGCCAGUACUUCGGUGGAUACCCCGGCUACGGUUUAGGCGGUGGCAUCGGCUUUGGAGGUUGCAAUGGCAUCGGAAACAGUGGAUUCGAUGACGACAUCCUCCUUCCGAUUCUUCUGCUGACCCUAGUGGGCCGUGGGGGCGGUGGAUUUGGCGGCUGCGGCUGCGGCGGCGGCUGCGGGGGAGGCUGCGGUGGGGGGUGUGGCCGCUGCUAAACGCCUCAAUUUUAAUAUUACAUUUACUUCUUUUCUGUUAUUCUCCAUAAUUCACUUCACUCUUUAAAUAUUGUAUAUUAUUUGUACAUGAGAUAUCACGUUAUUGUAAUAAUAAAUUAGUAAAUUAAAACAUAUUUUGGAAUA